rnacentral:rRNA from 1 species
UACAGAGGUCUCAAGCGUUGUUCGGAUUCAUUGGGCGUAAAGGGUGCGUAGGCGGCGCGGUAAGUCGGGUGUGAAAUCUGGAGCUUAACUCCGAAACUGCAUUCGAUACUGCCGUGCUUGAGGACUGGAGAGGAGACUGGAAUUUACGGUGUAGCGGUGAAAUGCGUAGAUAUCGUAAGGAAGACCAGUGGCGAAGGCGGGUCUCUGGACAGUUCCUGACGCUGAGGCACGAAGGUCAGGGAGCAAACGGG